GUGCCGAGCAUCGCGCGGCGGCUCGCGCCGUGAUGAGACGCUGGAGCGCUGCGCGACUCGCGCACGGCACGCGCUGCUCUGGCUCCGCGCGCCGCCCAUUCGAACCGACGCUCGAGUCCCUGCAGAAAGUGGGUCAAAGUGCCGCGGCCGAGCGCACGCUGCGCACGUGUCACUUCCGCCCAAACUUUUAAAAUACACGCAAAAAGUGACGCGAUUAAUCAUUAACGCGUUAGGCUGUUUCGAAAGAGGACGUUUAAACAGCGGAGAGGAUGGUUAAAAGUGACGUAGGAGGGUGCACAAUGAUGGUGACGUAGGGGGGUGCACAAUGAUGAUGGUGACGUAGGGGGGUGCACAAUGAUGAUGGUGACGUAGGGGGGUGCACAAUGAUGAUAAAUGAUCCGAAAUCGGUGCAAAAGCUCCCGUUUAUCUUAUUAAUGUAUCCUAUUGCGACUAUUAAUGUUAUUUCAAUUCAUUUUACAGUUCUGCCAUUUCAAUAUUUGAGCUUUAAACUCGACUCUUUUUCAGGCUAUUUGCUGUCAUCAAGCACCGUCGUGUCAUGAGCUGGGGAAUAAUAAAGUCCAUCUAAUUAAAAGGAAAUCAAUUAAAACUGUCAACUCGAAAUGUGCAGCGUUCAAAUGAUGGCACGUUCAUGGUGUAGGAGGACUAAAACGUGUUGUUUGCAGCUGCCAGAUGAACAUUUCAAUUCAACACAGAUGAGCAAUUUUACUGAAAGGACAAUUAUUAGACUGCAUUUGGGAAAACCUGUUAAGGAAGGAGAGAAAGGAGCCCGACUGUGGCCUGGUCACCUCUGAUUCUCCUGAUUCGGCCGUGCGUCCUUCCUUUGGCAGCUUGUGUGCCGCCAGUGGCCUUGAUGAUUUCGUGUCCAUGCAGACCAGAGCGCGUUGUGACGUUGCUGAUUCGUGUGACCUGGAUUUCUUUGUGCCUACAGGUUGAAGCAGAAUAGCAGAUCUCUCUCUGACAACACAAGAGAUGACAUCUCAUGCUGGGGAAGAGCGACAACGUUCAGACAGACCCCAGGAACGUUUAAACUACACAUCAUACUUACACAUCUGUGAUGUUUAUUCCCACAGGUUUCCAUUUGAAGCAUCAGGCUGCGCAGUGAUGCUGCUGUGCUGGAGAAGAGCUCCUCUCCUCAGUCAGGGGGACGUGGAGGACCGUGUUCAAGCCCAGAAACACGUUCAAGUUGAAAGCAGAAAUCAACAUAAAAAAUGGCUCCUCAACAUGGAGUCCCACAGUGAUGUCACAGGAAGGGGAAAUCUGGGUAAAUCCAUCCAUGUGCUGGUGAUGUAACCUGCGUUGGCCAAACUUUCUACAACUGGGUCAACCUUACAGAGCCCCCCACCCCCCACCCCCACUCAUUUGCUUGUUUCCCUCUCAUUUGAAUAAUCACGUAAUAUUCUACGACAGGAGUGUCAGUAAUCUCCCAGGAUCUCCAGUAUGAGCCUUCAAUCAAACCCCCUGAGAUGCAAUUAAUGCAGCAGUGUCUGUGAUGAGUUUUCAAAGUGACUUUUCCCUUGUGAACAUCAUCUGAGCUCUGCAGAGCCCCUCAGCACCUCGGACCUUCGGACCACCAUCACCACAGAGGAACCACGUUUGCUUCAGCAAAUAAGGAGCUGAUCUGAUUCUUCUUCUUAAAAUAUGUGGAUGCUUUUUCAUCAGCUGGAAACAUUCUCCUUGAUCCAAUACCAACAACAUUAUAUCAAAAUCUUUUAUGUUUUUCUGUUUGCACAGCAGAUAAAAGUAAAGUACUUGAGAGAUGAACUCCAGUGCAGGAUGGCAGUGUUUGCGUUUAGUAAUUAUCCUUCAUGAUCCUUCUUGGCAGCACUUGAGUGAUGAAAGUUCUUGUUCCCUCAACACCAUCAGAAAUGUCUUUGAGGAUUUGCCAGAGCAGCAGCUCAGCUCCCUGAGGAAUCAGAAUAAAUCCAAGGUUAUUCCUGAUUCCCCUCCAACGCUGAAGAAGAUAAACAGCACCUCCUUCACGUUUGUGCUGAGCUGAAGUGUCGUCAGCAAUCUCCCACCUGAACCGUGUCGGGAGAGCCGCUACCAUAGCGACAAACCCCAUAAUGAUGCUAUAAUUACCGUGGCACAAAUGACCAAACUCACCCGAGUCGGUGCCGGUGGCGUCAGCUAAAUACAAACUUAACGUUCUUAAGUUAUUCAGUUCUUCAGGGCAGCAAACUUUAAAUUAAGGCCGUAACCUUUAUUCUUCUACUUUAUUAAGUUAUGAAUAAUUCACUGAAGAAAAGAUGAAAAAUAUGCCCAGAAUGUAUGAAGAGUUAUUUAAAACGGCGCUCAGAUUCAAGGCCUCUACCCCAGUUGUUAUUGAUGGGUAUUAAUCUGCGUUCUGCUGUUUCCCUGCUGUCUGAAGGUGCAGAGGGGUCGUUUUAAAAGCCGGCUGAUAGGUCCAAAACUCACGGUGUCCUUAACCAGCACGGAAAAAGUUCUGAAUCAAAGUAACAUUAAUUCUCUUAUGAUGUCCGGAUAGUUUUUGUAGAUCUUUGCGGGUGGACCUGAGUCACGAUGCUGAUUAAAAAGGUUAAAAAUAGGAGGGUUAUUUCUUUAAACAGCCUCCAGUCUGGGUCGCAUCUGAUGAACCCGUGAAGGCAGCAUCAGACUGGGGCUCAGCAGGUUCGGCUCACUUCUGGAGACAAACUCCAUCUGUCCAUCUCAUCACCUCAUCAGGGCCGUGACCAGACCAAGCAAACCCACAGAACCGCAGACGGACCACGAAUGGGCCUGCCGACGGCUGCAGAACUGUGCACAUUUGUAGAUUAUAUAAAGAACUUAAUCUACAGAAACAGUCUGAAGCAGAUGUUGUUGCUUAUUUACAGCACAUCGUAUCCACAGAGACACUGGAUGUUGUUAGCCAUUAGCGCAGCAUUGCUAAUAAUGCUGCUCACGACCAGACUCAUUGAUAGUCAGCGAUAAAUGAUGCUUUCAAAUGACUAAAUAGUGAC
rnacentral:lncRNA from 1 species